CUCCCACCCCACCCAUAUAAAUUUGAUGUCAUGUACUUUUAGAUUAUGUUCAAUAAUAUGUAUGUUUUAAUACAUAAGCAAGGUGUUUCUUAAAUAUGCAGUUUGCAAGAGAGCUUUAAUUACUGGGGAACAGCCCUUGCAAGGUGUUACAUAUUGGUGGUCUUUGCUGUUUAUUAUUCUUUCUUUAGGACUUAUAGGAUUAUGAGAAGUGGACUGUUGCACUAAAUACUAUUGUAAGUUGGGUUGGUAUCUUACCCUAGUUAGUAAUGGUUGCCUAUUAUUCUUCCUGGACAAGCAUAAAGAUGUCUUUUGUGGUCACACCCCGGUCCAGCAAGGAAAGUGGUGGAAAAAAAAGAAGAUUAAUAUUAGCUAUUGCUAUGCAAAUUUUCUAAGUUUAUGAAAUGAAUAGAUAUUUAAAGAUAUAAUUAAAAUUAAGACACACAACUAAAUAAUAAGCAUAAA
rnacentral:misc_RNA from 1 species